GGGGGAUAACUACUGGAAACGGUAGCUAAUACCGCAUAACGUCGCAAGACCAAAGAGGGGGACCUUCGGGCCUCUUGCCAUCGGAUGUGCCCAGAUGGGAUUAGCUUGUUGGUGGGGUAACGGCUCACCAAGGCGACGAUCCCUAGCUGGUCUGAGAGGAUGACCAGCCACACUGGAACUGAGACACGGUCCAGACUCCUACGGGAGGCAGCAGUGGGGAAUAUUGCACAAUGGGCGCAAGCCUGAUGCAGCCAUGCCGCGUGUAUGAAGAAGGCCUUCGGGUUGUAAAGUACUUUCAGCGGGG
rnacentral:rRNA from 1 species